rnacentral:tRNA from 1 species
GCGGGUAUGGCCCAACGGCAGAGGCAUCCGGUUUAAGCCCGGUUCAGUGUGAGUUCGAAUCUCACUCUCCGUA